GUCUAUGGCCAUACCACCCUGAACACGCCCGAUCUCAUCUGGUUUCGGAUGCUAAGCAGGGUCGGGCCUGGUUAGUAACUGGAUGGAGAGACUAUAGACC
rnacentral:rRNA from 1 species